rnacentral:lncRNA from 10 species
UAAAGUGGCAGAAGCUGGGACCAUCCAACUCUAAAGCCCACAUUCUUAGACAUUAGGGGAUAUUGAAUGAAGUGUGUGUAUGUAUGGGGGAAUUUAAGAGAAUAUCAAACCAUUUGUAGAGUUCUACCCAAUAUAGAGACCUUAUCUAAUGUAAGAGAACUCUGAAGACAUCUCAUUGAUUGAAUGCUCUCCCCUUCAUAGCAACUUCUUCUGCGGCUUCCUUGCCUGGUGCUCCAGUCUUUGAGGGAAGCACGGCUGGCACGUUCUUCCGUUUGGAGACAUGGUUGACAAUUUCUCCAUAAUGGGGACACAACUGGCAAUUUUCCUACAGAGUGAGGCAGAUGGCAAUUUUCCUUCAGAGACAUGCAGGCAACAGUUUUGCCCCUGGAGAGAAAAGCCUCGCCGAUUGAGAUGCAGCCAGUAAUUUUUACUAUACAGAAGACACAUCCAAUAAUUUUGCCCAGUGAGAGAAACGGCCAACAAUUUUCCCACAGAGGGCAGGAAAAACAGACCAAAAAUUCAUAGUGGGGAGAAGUGAGGAGCAAAUGGGCUGGUAUGACCAAGAAAGACUUAAUAAGAAGCUGAGCCUUAAAUGAUCAAGAAGCACUGGAUAGAUAAGAGGACUGUUCACAAUAGCCAAGAUUUGGAAGCAACCUAAGUGUUCACCAACUGAUGAAUGGAUAAAGAAAAU